rnacentral:rRNA from 1 species
UACAGAGGGUGCGAACGUUGCUCGGAAUUAUUGGGCGUAAAGCGCGCGUAGGCGGUUACUUAAGUCGGAUGUGAAAGCCCUCGGCUUAACUGAGGAAGUGCACCCGAAACUGAGUAGCUAGAGUACGAAAGAGGGUCGCGGAAUUCCCGGUGUAGAGGUGAAAUUCGUAGAUAUCGGGAGGAACACCGGUGGCGAAGGCGGCGACCUGGGUCGAGACUGACGCUGAGGCGCGAAAGCGUGGGGAGCAAACAGG